rnacentral:lncRNA from 8 species
AUGCUUAACACCCCAGCAAUCCUACAAUCUAAGCUUGAUGCCCUCAAUCUCACACAAAUUAUCAAUGAACCUACCAGGUACCACCCCAAAGCCGUAAACACGGGCACCCUCAUAGAUAUCAUCCUAACCAACUUGCCCUCUAAAUACACCUCUGCUGUUUUCAACCAAGAUCUCAGCGAUCACUGCCUCACUGCCUGCAUCCGUAAUGGGUCAGCGGUCAAACGACCUCCACUCAUCACUGUCAAACACUCCCUGAAACACUUCAGCGAGCAGGCCUUUCUAAUCGACCUGGCCUGGGUAUCCUGGAAGGAUAUUGACCUCAUCCCGUCAGUAGAGGAUGCCUGGUUAUUUUUUUUAAAUGCCUUCCUCACCAUCUUAAAUAAGCAUGCCCCAUUCAAGAAAUUUAGAACCAGGAACAGAUAUAGCCCUUGGUUCUCUCCAGACCUGACUGCCCUUAACCAACACAAAAACAUCCUGUGGCGUUCUGCAUUAGCAUUGAACAGCCCCCAUGAUAUGCAACUUUUCAGGAAUGUUAGAAACCAAUAUACACAGGCAGUUAGAAAAGCUAAGGCUAGGUUUUUCAAGCAGAAAUUUGCUUCCUGCAACACAAACUCAAAAAAGUUCUGGGACACUGUAAAGUCCAUGGAGAAUAAGAACACCUCCUCCCAGCUGCCCACUGCACUGAGGAUAGGAAACUCUGUCACCACCGAUAAAUCCACUAUAAUUGAGAAUUUCAAUAAGCAUUUUUCUACGGCUGGCCAUGCUUUCCACCUGGCUACCUCUACCGCAGUCAAUAGCACUGCACCCCCCACAGCUACUCGCCCAAGCCUUCCCCAUUUCUCCUUCUCCCAAAUCCAGUCAGCUGAUGUUCUGAAAGAGCUGCAAAAUCUGGACCCCUACAAAUCAGCCGGGCUAGACAAUCUGGACCCUUUCUUUCUAAAAUUAUCUGCCGAAAUUGUUGCAAACCCUAUUACUAGCCUGUUCUACCUCUCUUUCGUGUCGUCUGAGAUUCCCAAAGAUUGGAAAGCAGCUGCGGUCAUCCCCCUCUUCAAAGGGGGGGACACUCUUGACCCAAACUGCUACAGGCCUAUAUCUAUCCUACCCUGCCUUUCUAAGGUCUUCGAAAGCCAAGUCAACAAACAGAUUACCGACCAUUUCGAAUCCCACCGCACCUUCUCCGCUAUGCAAUCUGGUUUCAGAGCUGGUCAUGGGUGCACCUCAGCCACGCUCAAGGUCCUAAACGAUAUCGUAACCGCCAUCGAUAAGAAACAAUACUGUGCUGCCGUAUUCAUUGACAGACAGCCCAUCUCAGUAUGGAGUGUAGUUCACAAUGCAUGUAGAACGAUCAUCUCAUCAUGGUAA